rnacentral:lncRNA from 1 species
AGAGAAUAAAAGCAGGCUGCCCGAGCCAGCAGUGGCAACCUGAUGGGGUCCCUUUUCAAGCUGUGGAACCUUUGUUCUUUCUCUGUUUGCAAUAAAUCUUGCCACUGCUCACUCUUUGGGUCCACACUGCUUUUAUGAGCUGUAACACUCACCGCGAAGGUCCGCAGCUUCACUCCUGAAGCCAGCGAGACCACGAGCCUACUGGGAGGAACGAACAACUCCCGACGCGCCGCCUUAAGAGCUGUAACACUCACCGCGAAGGUCUGCAGCUUCACUCCUGAGCCAGCGAGACCACGAACCCACCAGAAGGAAAAAACUCCGAACACAUCUGAACAUCAGAAGCAACAAACUCCGGACACGCCGCCUUUAAGAACUGUAACACUCACUGCGAGGGUCCGCGGCUUCAUUCUUGAAGUGAGUGAGACCAAGAACCCACCAGUUCUGGACACAAUUUCAAGUCCUCAGGUGCCAUCAAUAUUCUGAAAAUGGCAGUGAUUUUUAUUCAACCUGUAUAAGGCACUUUCACCAUGUACCUGGAAGCAACAUCUACAUCUUUUUCAGCAAUCUAGAUGCUGGGGACACAAGGUCCACCUUCCAGGAAUAUGGCCAUGACACCAGAAAUCACAAACAUGAUGAGAAUGGAAUGACUGGGGAAGAAGUGCCAGAUGCUUCACUUGUAAAUGAAGACCCAGCCUCUGGGGAUGCAGAUACCACCUCCCUGAAGAAGCUGAAUAUCUGCAGAUAAGUGGAGUUCACCAAUGAUGAGGAGCGGGAUGGAGAAAGGAGGUAGGGAGAGUCAUCCAAGGAACAUGAGCAACAUGUUAAAAGAAUUGAACCAGAGUCCGGUGAAUAUCAGCACUGGGACCAGUUAGCAGAGGAAAAGGAAAGAAUAAAAGCGAAAAGAAUGAAGAGUCAUAUGAUUACCAACUUUUCCUUUUUCAUAUAAAUUGAGUGUAUAUGGGUCUGGAACAACCUGAAUUUCCAUCAAGUCCUGGCUAACCUCAUUAUGUCCUAUGAAUAUUUUUGACUAAUCCCACUUUACAUUAAUCUGUAUUGUGAAUGUGGAUAUUGAAUUAUAUUUCUUUGUAAUCCCAUUAUCCAAAAUCCAGUUCAGAGACUAUUAGUUACCAAUGUUCACUGUGAAGGAAAAAAAAAAAAAAAAAGCUCAGAGGAUAAACAUGUGAUAUGGUUUGGCUGUGUCCCCACCCAAAUAUCAUCUUGAAUUGUAGCUCCCAUAAUUCCCACGUGUUGUGGGAGGGACCCGGUGGGAGAUAAUUGUAUCAUGGGGGUGGUUCCCCCAUACUAUUCUCAUAGUAGUGAAUAAGUCUCACAAAAUCUGAUGGUUUUAUGAGGGAAAACCCCUUUCACCUGGUUCUCAUUCUCUUCUCUGGUCUGUCGUCAUGUAAGACAUGCCUUUCACCUUCUCCACCAUGACUGUGAGGCCUCCCCAGCCACGUGGAACUGUGAGCCCAUUAAACCUCUUUCACUUAUAAAUUACCCAGUCUCUGGUAUAUCUUUAUCAGCAGCAUGAAAACAGACUAGUACAACAUGUUUGGAAAUGAUGUUCAGAAUUAAAUUUUCUUCUUGAAGAAUAAUAAUGUACAGGAGUGUGUUGAAGAUUUUGAGAAUUCUCACAGCAAAGGAACUUGUUAAUUUUUUUAAUCCACCUACCUAAUAGAAUUAAUAUUUUAAGAGAAACAGCUUGUGAAACAAUUAUAUAUAUGGUCCCAUAAAAACUUUUAGAAAACAAUUAUUAUACACACAUAUAAACACAUAUUACUUACUAGUAAAGAUGUACCUAUCUUCCUAGGAAGCUCUUUCAUGGUAUUUCAUUAGUAUCCCUUCCAGCACCUACCAUCCAUCCAGGCAAAUUUUAGAUGUUUUACAAAGGUUUAUGAAAUUGCAUUAAACACCUGUUAAAAAUCACUUUGUUCAUUGCAAGACAUUUAUAUACUGUAGUUUUAAAGAAAGAUAACAGCUGAGGGGAGCUACAGGAAAAAGAAAAGCAUAGAACUUAUGUUGAAUUAUUUUUCUUGUGCAUAUGAAGUUGCUCUGUGAGAACAAGAGCACUCAGCAGACGUAUAGAUCCACUAUCUUUUCACAUGGCAAUAUGUUCAUCCUUUCAGACAAUUUGAGCAAGUUUGGAACAUAAAAUAAUACAAAGAGGCUAAAAUGCAAAGCAAAAAAAAAAAAAUGAAAAUGAUUGGCACAAAAUAAUGGAGCAAUUGUAAGAGAUGUUACAUGUGUAAACUUAAACCAGGACAUAAACCGUUGAAGUUCACCGUUUAAGGAAGCAUCCAAAUAUAUAAUAGUCCUGCUAAAUGCUUGGAGUAGCAAAUUUCUAUCACAUGCAUCCACAUGCACAUCUUACAUUAAAAUCCCGUGACAAUAGUGUUAACAUCUUGUCAUUUUAGCCUUGAAUGUCAAAGGCUCAUGGGAUCUACUCCAUGACUCACAUAACCUGUAUAUCUAGAAACAGGUGUUUUAAACUCUACAUCUGGUGAUAAAUAUUAAAGAUAGAAGAUGAGAGUUCUAAAACAGUCUACUUAUUUCAUUUCCACUUGGCUUUGCCACCAUUACCUAAACUAUUACAGAUUGAGCUCCACAGACUACUCAGAAUUCUCCUCCUGUCUUGAAAUUCCAAAUGCAAUUUUCCCAGGAUUUUUAGAAAUUUAUGAAAUUAUUAGCCAAAAAUAUUAUAUUUCAAGAUUAAGCCCUCAUCCUACAGUUUAGAAAACCAAGAGCCAGCUGAAAAUACUUGCUCAAAUUCAGAGAAUGAAUGUUGUCUAAAUUAGUUCAAAAACAAGUGACUCAUUGAAGAUAAAGUAGUGUGGUGAUUAAAAGCAUGUACUUUGAAAAAAAAAAAAGUGACUCUUGGCUUGUAAUACAAUUUUUUCACUGCAUUAUUCUAAGGAAAUUUGUUAGUAGAGCUGAAAUAAUACAGCAUUAGGGUUAAAAAGUACAAGUUUCAAAGUUACAAAGACCAAGGUAGCGAAAGGCAAAUUACUCAACCUCUCUAAACAUGGUUUAUUCAUUAGUAAAAGAAGAACAAGAAUAUUAUUUAUGACAUAGUAUUAAGAGUUUUAAACAAUGUAGAAUACUGAAAGUGCCAAAAAACUAUUGUCAUUAUUACAUAUGUAAGUAAAAUUUAUUUUCUGCAUAUCAUUGUAUUAGUCUGUUUUCAUACUGCUACAAGGAACUACCCAAGCAGGUAAUUUGUAAAGAAAAGAGGUUUAAUUGACACACAGUUCAGCAUGGCUCGGGGGGCGGGGGGGCCCUCAGGAAACUUACAAUCAUGAUGGAAGGCAAAGGGGGAGCAAGGCACCUUCUUCACGAGGCGGCAGGAAGGAGAAAUGCUGAGUGAAAGGGGAAGAGCCCCUUAUAAAACCAUCAGAUCUAGUGAGAACUCACUAUCAUGAGAACCGCAUGGAAGAAACUGCUUCUGUGAUUCAGUUAUCUCCACUUGGUCUCUCCCUUGACACACGACGAAUUACAAUUCAAGAUGACUUUUGGGUGGAGACACAAAGCCUAACCAUAUCAAUCACCAUACCUUUCAAAAACUACAAAUAGUUUUCAUUACAUUUGGAGGUCAGUCUCAUGUAAAUUAUAAUGAGGUAUCAUAUUCAAAAUCCACUUUGAUCUCUGCUUCUAAGAGGACGGAGUGGACAUAAUUUCCGUAUUCCUCCCAAUGGGCACAACUAAAAACUCUGGAAAUGAUAUAUAAAACAAAUGUAAGAAGACUCUAAAGCAUGGAAAGAAAAAGGCAGGCGAGCUUGGGAAAUUGGAAUUCAAUGAACUACACAGUGCUGAGUUCCCUGAGUUUUCAUCUUGCCUCACAUAUCAUCUCAGACUGGGCACUAAAGACAUCAACAACCCGAAAAUACUAAAACGCUAAUGGACACAAACACCAAAACACACACAUACACACACAAAUAAAAACCCAAGAGAAGCCUGCUUUCUCUUGCCAAUGGACCAGAAAAGAAGCAGCAUAGGAAGACAGAAAACAUUUAGACAAUAACCACUUUACUCUAGCCAAACACUAUGUAAAAUACUGCAUGCCUACCCCUAGAAGCAAAGGCAGAGGGGAGAGUCCAGUCUUUGGACUCUUGCCAGGCUGCCAGGAGGUGCUGCAAGCCCUACCUACCUCCAGAGUGGUGUCAGAGAAGGCAGAGUGGAAAGCUGAGACCAUCAUCCCUAUCAGGUGGUAAAGAGGAUCCCCUUCAGGGUGUCAGGGGAGUCCAUGGGAAGAGGGAUAGGGACUUGGAUUUCCACCCUACCCAGAGGCACCAAGGCACCCACACUCCUCUCACUGAGGUGCUGUCAGAGGAGGUCUAAUGGAGAGUCGGUACUUUAAUGUGGCUCAGUGGUAACAAGCUCGACCCCAAAAGUGCUAGUAGAGGCCAUGUGGGAAGCUGUAAGAAGACAUCCCUCCCCUCCCAGCCAGGGUGGUAUCAACAGAUACCUAAUGGGGAACUGAGUUUUGACCAAAGUGCAAAAGCAAUUCAAUGGAGGAACAAACUUUUCAAUAAAUGGUGCUGAAGCAAUUGGAUACCUAUAGGCAAAAAAAUAAAAAUAAAAAAAAAUUAGACCUCAAACGUUUAACAAAAAUUAACUCAAAAUAAAUAGUAUAUUUAAUAUAAAAUGUAAACUACAAAACUUACAAAAUAACAUUGGAGAAAAUUUUCAGGACCUAGGACUUGGUGAAGAAAAUGUAGAUGUGACACCAAAAGCACAAUCCAUACGAGUAAAAAAUCAAUAAAUUGGAUCUACUUUUGCUCUGUGAAAGAUCCUGUUUAAGAGAAUGAAAAGACAAGCUAUAGAGUGGGAGAAAAUAUUUGCAAAUAUCAGUGAGAUUUCUUAAAAUUGAACAGUUAAAAACAAAUAACCCAAUUAGAAAAUGGGCCUUCCCCACCCCCAAAAAACCCAUGAAGAGACAUUUCAGACAUGUAAGCAAAUGAAAAAAUGUUCAAAGUCACUAGCUAUUAGGGAAAUGCAAAUAAAGACCAUGAGGAGACAUCACUACAUACCUUUCAACAUGCUGACAUAAAAAAAACGGUGACAACACCAGAUGCUAGCAAGGAUACAGAGAAACUUGAUGUCUCAUACAUUGCCAGUGGGAAUACAAAAUGGUUAAGCCACUGUGGAAAACAGUUUGGCUGUUUCUUAAAGUAAUUAAACAUAUGCUUACCAUACAACCCAGAAAUUGUACUCCAGGGCAUUUAUCCCAGAGAAAUGAAACAUUAUUGUAGCAGUUUUUUGUUGUUGUUGUUAUAGCCAAAACCUGGAAUACAGCAAUAAAAAGGAAUAAACUAUUAAUACACACCAUGAUUUGGAUGGAUUUCAAAGUCAUUACAAUAAGUGAAAAAAAAUCUCAGAGGACACAUUUAUAUGUGAGCUCAUUUAUACAACAUUCUUGAAAUGAUAAAAUUACAGAGACAGGAAAAAAAAAUUAUGUUUCCCAUGAGUUAGGGAUGGUAUAGGCGAGGAAAUUGAGUGCAGCUAUAAAGGGGUAAUUUGAGGGAGAUCUUUGUGGUAAAGGAAUAGUUCUGUAUCUUGAUUGUACUGAUGAUAUAGACUGAUGAAUCUACACAUAUGAUAAAAUGACAUGGAAUCAUAUAUACUCAUUGUCUAAUUUCUGUCUUUGAUGCUGUAUUAUAGUUAUAUAAGAUGUAUCCAUUGAUGGAAACUGAGAGAAGAGUACGUGGGUUGUCUCUGUGCUACUUUUGCAACUUCCUGUGAAUCUACAAUUAUUUUAAAAUAAAAUUUUUCUUUUUUUAUUAUACUUUAAGUUCUAGGGUACAUGUGCACAAUGUGCAGGUUUGUUACAUAUGUAUACAUGUGCCAUGUUGCUGUGCUGCACCCAUUAAGUCGUCAUUUACAUUAAGUAUAUCUCCUAAUGCUAUCCCUCUCCCCUCCCCCC